CAGCAGCCGCGGUAAUACGUAGGGUGCAAGCGUUAAUCGGAAUUACUGGGCGUAAAGCGUGCGCAGGCGGUUCGUUAAGACAGAUGUGAAAUCCCCGGGCUUAACCUGGGAACUGCAUUUGUGACUGGCGGGCUAGAGUAUGGCAGAGGGGGGUAGAAUUCCACGUGUAGCAGUGAGAUGCGUAGAGAUGUGGAGGAAUACCGAUGGCGAAGGCAGCCCCCUGGGCCAAUACUGACGCUCAUGCACGAAAGCGUGGGGAGCAAACAGGAUUAGAUACCCCUGUAGUCCCUGUCUCUUAUAC
rnacentral:rRNA from 1 species